rnacentral:rRNA from 1 species
UACGUAGGGUGCAAGCGUUAAUCGGAAUUACUGGGCGUAAAGCGUGCGCAGGCGGUUGUGCAAGACAGAUGUGAAAUCCCCGAGCUUAACUUGGGAACUGCAUUUGUGACUGUAUGGCUAGAGUAUGGUAGAGGGGGAUGGAAUUCCGCAUGUAGCAGUGAAAUGCGUAGAUAUGUGGAGGAACACCGGUGGCGAAGGCGGCAUCCUGGACCGGUAUUGACGCUGAGGCGCGAAAGCCAGGGGAGCAAACGGG